UACGUAGGGGGCUAGCGUUGUCCGGAAUCAUUGGGCGUAAAGAGCGUGUAGGCGGUCCGGUAAGUCCGCUGUGAAAGUCAGGGGCUCAACCCUCGAAUGCCGGUGGAUACUGUCGGGCUAGAGUGCGGAAGAGGCGAGUGGAAUUCCUGGUGUAGCGGUGAAAUGCGCAGAUAUCAGGAGGAACACCUAUUGCGAAGGCAGCUCGCUGGGACGUAACUGACGCUGAGACGCGAAAGCGUGGGGAGCAAACAGG
rnacentral:rRNA from 1 species